rnacentral:rRNA from 1 species
CGGGUGAGUAACGCGUGGGUAACCUGCCUCAUACAGGGGGAUAACAGUUAGAAAUGACUGCUAAUACCGCAUAAGCGCACAGAAUCGCAUGAUUCGGUGUGAAAACUACCGGUGGUAUGAGAUGGACCCGCGUCUGAUUAGCUAGUUGGUGGGGUAAAGGCCUACCAAGGCGACGAUCAGUAGCCGACCUGAGAGGGUGAUCGGCCACAUUGGGACUGAGACACGGCCCAAACUCCUACGGAAGGCAGCAG